rnacentral:rRNA from 1 species
UACGGGGGGAGCAAGCGUUGUUCGGAUUUACUGGGCGUAAAGGGCGCGUAGGCGGUCGUGACAAGUCACUUGUGAAAUCUCCGGGCUUAACUCGGAACGGUCAAGUGAUACUGUCGGACUAGAGUACAGAAGGGGACGACACUGGAAUUCUCGGUGUAGCGGUGAAAUGCGUAGAUAUCGAGAGGAACACCUGCGGCGAAGGCGGGUUGCUGGGCUGAUACUGACGCUGAGGCGCGAAAGCCAGGGGAGCGAACGGG